rnacentral:rRNA from 1 species
AUGAACGCUAGCGACAGGCCUAACACAUGCAAGUCGAGGGGCAGCGGGGAGGUAGCAAUACCUUUGCCGGCGACCGGCGCACGGGUGAGUAACACGUAUGCAAUCCACCUGUAACAGGGGGAUAACCCGGAGAAAUCCGGACUAAUACCCCAUAAUAUGGGCGCUCCGCAUGGAGGGCUCAUUAAAGAAAGCAAUUUUGGUUACAGACGAGCAUGCGCUCCAUUAGCCAGUUGGCGGGGUAACGGCCCACCAAAGCGACGAUGGAUAGGGGUUCUGAGAGGAAGGUCCCCCACAUUGGAACUGAGACACGGUCCAAACUCCUACGGGAGGCAGCAGUGAGGAAUAUUGGUCAAUGGUCGGCAGACUGAACCAGCCAAGUCGCGUGAGGGAAGACGGCCCUACGGGUUGUAAACCUCUUUUGUCGGAGAGUAAAGUACGCUACGUGUAGCGUAUUGCAAGUAUCCGAAGAAAAAGCAUCGGCUAACUCCGUGCCAGCAGCCGCGGUAAUACGGAGGAUGCGAGCGUUAUCCGGAUUUAUUGGGUUUAAAGGGUGCGUAGGCGGCACGCCAAGUCAGCGGUGAAAUUUCCGGGCUCAACCCGGAGUGUGCCGUUGAAACUGGCGAGCUAGAGUACACAAGAGGCAGGCGGAAUGCGUGGUGUAGCGGUGAAAUGCAUAGAUAUCACGCAGAACCCCGAUUGCGAAGGCAGCCUGCUAGGGUGAAACAGACGCUGAGGCACGAAAGCGUGGGUAUCGAACAGGAUUAGAUACCCUGGUAGUCCACGCAGUAAACGAUGAAUACUAACUGUUUGCGAUACAAUGUAAGCGGUACAGCGAAAGCGUUAAGUAUUCCACCUGGGGAGUACGUUCGCAAGAAUGAAACUCAAAGGAAUUGACGGGGGCCCGCACAAGCAGUGGAGUAUGUGGUUUAAUUCGACGCAACGCGAAGAACCUUACCAAGUCUUGACAUCCUGCGACGCACAUAGAAAUAUGUGUUUCCUUCGGGACGCAGAGACAGGUGGUGCAUGGUUGUCGUCAGCUCGUGCCGUGAGGUGUCGGCUUAAGUGCCAUAACGAGCGCAACCCCUAUCGACAGUUACUAACGGGUGAAGCCGAGGACUCUGUCGAGACUGCCGGCGCAAGCCGCGAGGAAGGUGGGGAUGACGUCAAAUCAGCACGGCCCUUACGUCCGGGGCGACACACGUGUUACAAUGGCAGGUACAGAAGGCAGCCAGUCAGCAAUGACGCGCGAAUCCCGAAAACCUGUCUCAGUUCGGAUUGGAGUCUGCAACCCGACUCCAUGAAGCUGGAUUCGCUAGUAAUCGCGCAUCAGCCAUGGCGCGGUGAAUACGUUCCCGGGCCUUGUACACACCGCCCGUCAAGCCAUGGAAGCCGGGAGUACCUGAAGCAUGCAACCGCAAGGAGCGUACGAAGGUAAUACCGGUAACUGGGGCU